AAAGACCGUGGUUUUACACGGUUUACGUUCAACGUUUGAUCAUCUGUCUUAUUAAAAAAAUAUAUGAUUACUAUUUUUGUUGUUAUUAGAUGAUAAAACAUGGAUAGUACUUUAUGUGUGACUAUUUUUUUAAUUUUUUUUCAUAAAAUUUUCAAAUAAGAUGAAUAGUUAAACGUUAGACAUGGAAACAUACAACUGUAGUUAAA
rnacentral:pre_miRNA from 1 species